rnacentral:rRNA from 1 species
GAUGAACGCUGGCGGCGUGCCUAAUACAUGCAAGUCGAGCGAACAGACGAGGAGCUUGCUCCUUUGACGUUAGCGGCGGACGGGUGAGUAACACGUGGGUAACCUACCUAUAAGACUGGGAUAACUUCGGGAAACCGGAGCUAAUACCGGAUAAUAUUUCGCACCGCGUGGUUCGAUAGUGAAAGAUGGCUUUGCUAUCACUUAUAGAUGGACCUGCGCCGUAUUAGCUAGUUGGUAAGGUAACGGCUUACCAAGGCAACCAUACGUAGACGACCUGAGAGGGUGAUCGGCCACACUGGAACUGAGACACGGUCCAUACUCCUACGGGAGGCAGCAGUAGGGAAUCUGCCGCAAUGGGCGAAAGCCUGACGGAGCAACGCCGCGUGAGUGAUGAAGGUCUUCGGAGCGUAAAACUCGGUUAUUAGGGAAGAACAAACGUGUAAGUAACUGUGCACGUCUUGACGGUACCUAAUCAGAAAGCCACGGCUAACUACGUG